rnacentral:rRNA from 1 species
GACGUAGGGCGCGAGCGUUGUCCGGAUUUAUUGGGCGUAAAGAGCUCGUAGGCGGCUUGUCGCGUCGACUGUGAAAACCCGCGGCUCAACUGCGGGCCUGCAGCCGAUACGGGCAGGCUAGAGUUCGGUAGGGGAGACUGGAAUUCCUGGUGUAGCGGUGAAAUGCGCAGAUAUCAGGAAGAACACCAAUGGCGAAGGCAGCUCUCUGGGACGGUACUGACGCUGAGGCACGAAAGCGUGGGGAGCAAACAGG